AUGACUCACCUUCUGCCCUGUACUGAUGCCAGGGCAGAGUGUAGGAAUCUGCUGGUGCUGCUCUGUGGUAACUGCAGCUCUAACUGGAGCCCAGCCUUUUCUUACCAGAGCUGUCUGCAAACGUGCGCUCACCUGUGUCCUUCUUCAUGGAGCACCUACCCUGGCGUGAGAACAGGAUCCAGCAGGGCUUCCCAGUGCCAGUGCAACACACACUCCAGACUGGCCAGACCAGGCCAGCUCCCCUCCAGCUUUACUACACUUGCUAUUCACACGAAACUGGAAAAAUGUACUGUAGAAGGUUGUGCUCUUUCCCUGACUGGGCACUGGGCCUAAACUGCCACUGCCUGGGGGCUGAUAGGCAGUGCGAGUCCCAAAGGAAGCUUACGGCGUGUCACUCUCUCACAGGCGUCCUAUGCUAAGGAAAUGGUGAGAGAAGAACCUGGAAAGAGACCUCACAGAGUCUAAAAAUUGAGAUGUGGAAGAAGCUACUCAGCCAUGUUGUUGAAGCUGAUACCCUGGCUUCUUUCAGGAAACAGCUGGAUGAGAUCUUCAGAUCAGUUAGCUACUGGCAACCAAAUGCCCUAUAUGGGCCUAAAUGGCCUCAUUGGUAACUUUUUAUACAGUAUGUUCUAAUUCAAUGGUGAAGCAGUUUGAAACAAUUUUAAUUGUCUAAUAGUCUCUUUUCUGAGUUUAAAUACAGUAUGUGGUUAAAUAAAGUUUUUUUUUCCUUGAAGCUGCUGAAGUACUAUUUGUUUUUUAUUGUUUUAAUAGAGAAGAAAGUAAUUAAAAACACAAGCCUUCUGUUGUCAUGGUGAUGUAUCUGAUGCUGCCCUGCAGUCAGGGAGCCCAUUUUGCUUGGCUACGUCAUAUCUAUUGAUUUCUGUCGGCCUCUGUGAAAUAUCACCCUCAGCCUAGUGACAAAUACAUUUAGUAUGAAGCCAAAUGUUUUGUGUAGGGCACUCCUUGUCAAAGAGCAGCUAACAGGUGUCCUAAAAUACAUUAUUUUAAAACGUCUACUGUAUAAUAAACAUUGUCCUAUUAUUUCUACUACUUGUUGUUAUUACUACAUUUUAUGGU
rnacentral:lncRNA from 1 species